AAGACUAUAGACCUGCGGAGUACCUGCGGAAGGAUCAUUACUGAAAGAUCACGGGGUUUUGGGACUGCAUCUUGAAAUGAUGUGUGCUCGACCCUACUCUUUUAUCCACAUACACCUUUUGUGCACUAUGGGACGAUUUAAAGUCCCCUUUAUUUACACAAACACUUGGUAUAUGCAUGUAUUUAAUACUCUAUUGAGUAAUGUACAACUUUCAGCAACGGAUCUCUAGAUCGGAAGAGC
rnacentral:misc_RNA from 1 species